rnacentral:rRNA from 1 species
AUACGUAGGGGGCGAGCGUUGUCCGGAAUUAUUGGGCGUAAAGAGCGCGCAGGCGGCUAUUUAAGUCUACCGUGAAAGCUUACGGCUCAACCGUAACGGGUCGGUGGAUACUGGAUGGCUUGAGGGCAGGAGAGGAAAGUGGAAUUCCCAGUGUAGCGGUGAAAUGCGUAGAGAUUGGGAGGAACACCAGUGGCGAAGGCGACUUUCUGGACUGUUACUGACGCUGAGGCGCGAAAG